rnacentral:rRNA from 1 species
GAUGAACGCUGGCGGCGUGCCUAAUACAUGCAAGUCGAGCGAACAGACGAGGAGCUUGCUCCUCUGACGUUAGCGGCGGACGGGUGAGUAACACGUGGAUAACCUACCUAUAAGACUGGGAUAACUUCGGGAAACCGGAGCUAAUACCGGAUAAUAUAUUGAACCGCAUGGUUCAAUAGUGAAAGACGGUUUUGCUGUAACUUAUAGAUGGAUCCGCGCCGCAUUAGCUAGUUGGUAAGGUAACGGCUUACCAAGGCAACGAUGCGUAGCCGACCUGAGAGGGUGAUCGGCCACACUGGAACUGGGACACGGUCCAGACUCCUACGGGAGGCAGCAGUAGGGAAUCUUCCGCAAUGGGCGAAAGCCUGACGGAGCAACGCCGCGUGAGUGAUGAAGGUCUUCGGAUCGUAAAACUCUGUUAUUAGGGAAGAACAAAUGUGUAAGUAACUAUGCACGUCUUGACGGUACCUAAUCAGAAAGCCACGGCUAACUACGUG